rnacentral:lncRNA from 1 species
GGGAGGACUUAGACUCAAGAAAGGAUGAGAAGAGAAGCUAAAGAAGAGUCAAGUCCACCGCUCAACGUCAAUUCCAGCACUGAGCGUCCUGUGAUUCUGAGGGCCAGCGUUGAGCGGAAGUUUCCACCACUGAGCGCUCUACGAUUAAAGGGUCCACAGCUGAGCGGUCAUAUGGGCGCUGAACGCCUAAAUGAUGGACUUGGGC